rnacentral:lncRNA from 13 species
AAUUUAGCAUUGUGCCUGUGUCCAAGGCUUCGCGGCAUCCAUCGAGAACAUCUGAUUGAAUAAUUCAAAUCACCUAUCGAUCCCGUGGCGGGAAACGAUCGUCCUCAUAACUCUUCCUAGAGAGCUCUUAGUGUGGUGGUGAAAGGCACCUGCGCGUACUUGUACGCGAGAGAGUUCCGACUUUUGCCGCUGUGUUUGAAACUAAUGUGAAAAUCUUGCCGAGGUCGUGAAGUCCGUAAGUUUGUAAACACAGCGGCGAUAUUAUCGCGAUUGUGAGUUUUCAAUCGGAUCACCGGGUCGCGUUCGAGUUCGUGCGUGGUGGUAUCGACCGACCUCCGUCAGACCUCUUGGCUUCGCCAGAGCGAGUUACAGAUCUGCGAUUUCAGUGUGGAAGUAUCCGCUUAUCGACUACUCGAGAUAAUAGCACAACUAUAGACGAUCUUGGCAUUUAGUGUCUUUGGACUGCCCAUUAUUUGUUCAUUACCUGACUUAUAAGAGCAAAUGAGCUCAUUAUCAUUAAUGUGACAUAUGAAUUUUUUAUUGAGUUAGAAAGUUGGUUAACAAUUGACUUGAGAAGAAAAGAGAGAGAGAAAACGACUUACUAUUGUAAGUUUCCAAAUUUUUUUCCUUUUUCAAAUGAUAUACUUUAAUGGAAAUUUAGUAUAUAUUGAAUUACUUUCAAGGUUUGGCCGUUUCCAAUUUGGAAGGAGAGGAAUGGUGUUAAGGGUUAAUAGGUCAAUCUAUAUCCUGAAGUUACUAAAUUAGAUAGCUAGCUCAAUAUCUAGACAAAUAUUUAUCUUGAAAAAGAAAAUUAAGAGGGAAUUGUAAUGCAUCUGAUGAAUUUUCUGAACGUGUUUCAAGCAUUUUAACGAACAAAGCACGCUCGUUAACUUAUUGUUAGUCUUGAGCGACGAACGAUCAUUUCUCCUUUAAGUCGCGCUAACGCAUAGUUCAAUUUAUCGCGAAGGCGGAUCGUUUACUAUGUACAAUGACCGUGUUUUAUACGACUUCAAAGUACGCGAAAAAACGCACGAUAAUUAAAGUUACCUCGCGGAAAAUACGCGGAAAAUACGCUGGAGUCUUUGUUGCACUUCCCAUAAUUACAAGCACACGCGGAAACUUCGUAAUCACCUUAAAUUUUCUUUACGACCAUUUUUCAUCGCUACGCUAGACAAAUAUCGUGCGAAUAUAUCUCUAAACACAUUUUUUUAUGAUACUUGUGAAACGGGUAUGGAACGUUAUAUAUGGAAACGUUAAUCUCUAUUAUUUCUUGUACUAUCCGGCAUUUGCAAAUUACACACUUCUUUUUAGACGAGAGAAUGGGAGAGAGGAGGAAAAACACUUAUAAAUUAGACUUACUGUAUUAUUUUAAAAAGAGAUAGUGGACAAGUUUAUCGCGAUACUGUCCAAUUAUCAUUAUGCGGACAACCAAGUCUAUAUUCAUGUUCCGUCUAUAUCCCAAGUCCAUGUUCACGUACGCAUGUAGAGAAGCGGUCAGUAUCGAUUGCGUGUUACAUUUUAUUGCCAUCCGGAGUUGCGAUAAUGACCGAUAAUACUCGUAAAGUCGUCGAAGCGAGGUUUCGAGAAACGCGGUGACCUAGCUCACUAGCUGUGCGAGUUGUCGAACCAACUUGUCGCUCGCCUCUCUCGUUCCAUUAUUCCCCUUUACAGCGAUAACGAACUGACGUUAGCCCACACAUUAGCGUUGCGAAAUAACAGGAAACACGCGUGACUUCGUCCUUCGCAAACUUUCUCCACCUGUGCUUUUUCUACCCGCCCUUCUAUUUCGCAUCAUGAAAUAUCAAUUUCAUGUUUACAAUUAAUUACGAUCUACUGUCUCAAUUUGUAUAUACAACUAUCGUUAUAUCUUAUUUUUAUAUUAUUUUUAUAUUAUUAUUAUAUUAUAUUACAAUUGUUUGCGCAGACUGGAAGAAAUAUAAUAUUUUAAAGGUGUUUAUACUUGAAAAAUAUUCGGUUUUGUCAGAUAAAUAGAGAACCGAUAUGUGUGAAAACGAAACGAAAUCUUUUACAUUUAUAUGUAUAUUUUUUUAAUACAUCAUGUUUUGCAACAUUCCACAAAUCUAUAUUUCAUCCAAAAGGUAUUGCAGUUUUGCAGUUGCAUGUGCAAUAUGCAACUGUCGUAAAUUCCUUCUAUACCGACCUCUGCACUUUGGUAGACACCAUUGCUAUCAGAUGUCGUCCCUUGUUUCAUCGCAAGUUGCAAAGCUCUGUGCAGAAACCGAUUUGAACAACUAUUAUACGUUUAAAUAUCACAUACAUUUAUAUGCAUAUAUUUGUAUGUAUAUAGUA